CUCACCAGACACCAAAUCUGCCGGCACAUGAUCUUGGACUUCCCAGCAUUUAGACUGCCCUGAAUCCACCGUAGUGCAACAUCUUCAGCAUUACCUGAAACCUCUCGUAGAAUUAUGCUGAAAACUGGUGCAGCCACUCUGGAAAACAAAUCGAUAUCUUACUAUCAACAACUUCUUUAAAAUAACAGGCCUAAGUAUUCUACUAAGUAACUUUUAAGGACUUGAUGAUAUCAUCUUGACUUUUCCAUCAUACAUUCUAUGUAUGUUAACAGCAUCAUCAUAUUACUAGUUCCUGAAUUUUUUCCUACAUUUUUAUCUAGCUAGCUUCCAGAGAAGCCUGGGCAAAAUGGAGCACAGGAUAAGACAGCUACAACCUGGCUGAAUAACACGAAUAAUCGUGUAAGCUGGAUGAAGCAACUGCAUAGAUAUUAGAUAUUGUUCACAUAUUAUAAUGUCUAAAGGCAAAGAAAUAUCUUAUGUUGCCUCUUAAGAUGGAGUAAACUAUCCCAGAAGCCCCACAGCAGAUUUACUUAACAGCAGACAACUCACUGGAUAGUACUGCAAAUGUGCUCAUGGCAAGAAGAAAAAAUUCCAGGCUAUUGUUUCCUCUUUAUGGGUGAGAAAACCUAGGUCCCCAAGCCGGAACUAUGAAGAGAGGGACCACGUGACCACAGGACACCAUGAGAACAUGCCAACUGAGCUUCCCAUCAUGCACUGUUUGGUUUUUAUUAAUCCACUAAACCCUAAACCUGGGUUUGGUCUGGAUACAAUCAUUGGAAUUGCCUGGAGCAAGUUUAAAUACUUGUCACGAAAGCUGCUGGGCUUCAUCACUUUGUAUCCUAGCUGCAUCCAAGCCUGAGGCGGUGGCCACUUGACACCAGGAGCCACUUAAUGUCCCUUUGGAUCUGGAGCAGAGAAGCAA